AAAAAGAAGGAAAGCAAUGGUCCGCCAUAUGGCGUUCGCGAAACCGAAGUCUUUCUCGAAGUGGUUAUAUUACUAAAGUUCCCUUAUUUCUCUUUCACUCUACGGUGAGAUAGAUAGAGAAAGAAAGAAAGAGAUAGAUAGAUAGAUAGAUAGAUAGAUAGAUACAUAGAUAGAGAGAAAAAAAGAAAAAGAGAAAGAUAGAAUUGUGACCAGGAUUUCAUCUGUCAACAUCUGUUUCCUUGGUUGAACAUGAGAUUCCAUUACUUGGAAACGUCCUGAAGGAGUAAACGAAGAAGAAGAAGAAGAAGAAAACUAUGGGAUCGUAUCCUCUACCUGUCCAUAUACUUUAGCUCCCAUAAGAGAUACCCUACCACAAAGAUCUAGAUCUCUCUUUGUUCCCUAAAUCUCUUACAUGAAGAUAUAAAGUGGGAGAAGGAUAACGUAUGUGUGUAUGGGUAUAAUGGGUAUGAGUCUUCCUACAUGUUUUUUCAUCGAAACGACGGAUUUUCAUCAUAGGAUUUCUUAUAUAGAAAGGAGAACAUACCAGAAGAUCAGUUGGCAGAGUUAUUGGUAAAAGGAAAAGUAAAUAAAUAAACAACUGGAAAGAAAAAUUGAUAAAACCAGCUUGCGCUAUUAAUAAUAUAUCCGACGAGUCCGAGGUAUCAACGAACGAAAUAUUUUUCUAUGGAAAUUGUUGCAGUUGGCAGUAAUUAUCGAUAAGAAGAUUA